rnacentral:ncRNA from 2 species
AUAGAAUAAGUACAAGUAGGUGCCCAAAAGUUGGGAGAAUAGGGAAUUCAGGUGAAAGUCCUGAGCGGUCCCGCCACUGUAAUUGGAGAGCAUCCUCAAAAGACCACCUCUGUUUUGAGACAGUUGGGAAGGGGAGGAAUUGUGAUGAACCAAGAGCCAGGAGACCUGCCUAUUUGUAUAGCGAUUG